AUUGAACGCUGGCGGCAGGCCUAACACAUGCAAGUCGAGCGGAUGAAGGGAGCUUGCUCCUGGAUUCAGCGGCGGACGGGUGAGUAAUGCCUAGGAAUCUGCCUGGUAGUGGGGGAUAACGUCCGGAAACGGGCGCUAAUACCGCAUACGUCCUGAGGGAGAAAGUGGGGGAUCUUCGGACCUCACGCUAUCAGAUGAGCCUAGGUCGGAUUAGCUAGUUGGUGGGGUAAAGGCCUACCAAGGCGACGAUCCGUAACUGGUCUGAGAGGAUGAUCAGUUACACUGGAACUGAGACACGGUCCAGACUCCUACGGGAGGCAGCAGUGGGGAAUAUUGGACAAUGGGCGAAAGCCUGAUCCAGCCAUGCCGCGUAUGUGAAGAAGGUCUUCGGAUUGUAAAGCACUUUAAGUUGGGAGGAAGGGCAGUAAGUUAAUACCUUGCUGUUUUGACGUUACCAACAGAAUAAGCACCGGCUAACUUCGUG
rnacentral:rRNA from 1 species